UUGGAGGGCAAGUCUGGUGCCAGCAGCCGCGGUAAUUCCAGCUCCAAUAGCGUAUAUUAAAGUUGUUGCAGUUAAAAAGCUCGUAGUUGAAUUUCGGGAUCAGUUGAUCGGUCGUGCCUCGGUACGUACUGGUCAAAUUGAUUCCUACCUUCUGACGAACCACGAUGUCAUUAACUUGGUGUCGUGGGAAAUCAGGACUGUUACUUUGAAAAAAUUAGAGUGUUUAAAGCAGGCUCGCGCUUGAAUACAUUAGCAUGGAAUAAUGAAAUAGGACGUUUGAUUCUAUUUUGUUGGUUUCUAGGAUCGACGUAAUGAUUAAUAGGGAUAGUUGGGGGCAUUAGUAUUCAAUUGUCAGAGGUGAAAUUCUUGGAUUUAUUGAAGACUAACUACUGCGAAAGCAUUUGCCAAGGAUGUUUUCAUUAAUCAAGAACGAAAGUUAGGGGAUCGAAGACGAUCAGAUACCGUCGUAGUCUUAACCAUAAACUAUGCCGACUAGGGAUCGGAUGAUGUUAAUUUUUUAAUGACUCAUUCGGCGCCUUACGGGAAAC
rnacentral:rRNA from 1 species